rnacentral:tRNA from 1 species
GCUGCGGUGGUGGAAUGGCAGACACGCCAGCCUUAGGAGCUGGUUCCCAAAAGGAGUGGAGGUUCAAGUCCUCUCCGCAGCACCA